ACGUAGGUGGCAAGCGUUGUCCGGAUUUAUUGGGCGUAAAGCGAGCGCAGGCGGAAUGAUAAGUCUGAUGUGAAAGCCCACGGCUCAACCGUGGAACUGCAUCGGAAACUGUCAUUCUUGAGUGCAGAAGAGGAGAGUGGAACUCCAUGUGUAGCGGUGGAAUGCGUAGAUAUAUGGAAGAACACCAGUGGCGAAGGCGGCUCUCUGGUCUGCAACUGACGCUGAGGCUCGAAAGCAUGGGUAGCGAACAGGAUUAGAUACCCUGGUAGUCCAUGCCGUAAACGAUGAGCGCUAGGUGUUGGGGACUUUCCGGUCCUCAGUGCCGCAGCAAACGCAUUAAGCGCUCCGCCUGGGGAGUACGACCGCAAGGUUG
rnacentral:rRNA from 1 species